AUGCACGUUUUUCCUCUCCCUGGCUGAGAGGUCUGAUAUCGGCUCUUUCUCUCAUAAAGACUGGUAUUUCAACAACGUGCUAGAGUAAAUGAGGAUAUCAGGGCCGUGAGUCUCUAAAGAGCAGACUAAACGGUAGUAUAAGUCUGCAACAUAA